rnacentral:rRNA from 1 species
AUCAGUGGCGAACGGGUGAGUAACACGUGAGCAACCUGCCCUGGACUCUGGGAUAAGCGCUGGAAACGGUGUCUAAUACUGGAUAUGAGCCUCUAUCGCAUGGUGGGGGUUGGAAAGAUUUUUCGGUCUGGGAUGGGCUCGCGGCCUAUCAGCUUGUUGGUGAGGUAAUGGCUCACCAAGGCGUCGACGGGUAGCCGGCCUGAGAGGGUGACCGGCCACACUGGGACUGAGACACGGCCCAGACUCCUACGGGAGGCAGCAGUGGGGAAUAUUGCACAAUGGGCGGAAGCCUGAUGCAGCAACGCCGCGUGAGGGAUGACGGCCUUCGGGUUGUAAACCUCUUUUAGCAGGGAAGAAGCGAAAGUGACGGUACCUGCAGAAAAAGCGCCGGCUAACUACGUGCCAGCAGCCGCGGUAAUACGUAGGGCGCAAGCGUUAUCCGGAAUUAUUGGGCGUAAAGAGCUCGUAGGCGGUUUGUCGCGUCUGCUGUGAAAUCCCGAGGCUCAACCUCGGGUCUGCAGUGGGUACGGGCAGACUAGAGUGCGGUAGGGGAGAUUGGAAUUCCUGGUGUAGCGGUGGAAUGCGCAGAUAUCAGGAGGAACACCGAUGGCGAAGGCAGAUCUCUGGGCCGUAACUGACGCUGAGGAGCGAAAGGGUGGGGAGCAAACAGGCUUAGAUACCCUGGUAGUCCACCCCGUAA